GCUAGUGUGGCAGCGCCAGGAGAAUGCAAAAGACCUAAGCCCUUUCUACAGAAGUUCAAAUCCUCUCUCUAGCC
rnacentral:tRNA from 1 species